rnacentral:rRNA from 1 species
CAGUAGCAGGUAAUACGUAGGUGGCAAGCGUUGUCCGGAAUUAUUGGGCGUAAAGGGCUCGCAGGCGGUUUCUUAAGUCUGAUGUGAAAGCCCCCGGCUCAACCGGGGAGGGUCAUUGGAAACUGGGAAACUUGAGUGCAGAGGAGGAGAGUGGAAUUCCACGUGUAGCGGUGAAAUGCGUAGAGAUGUGGAGGAACACCAGUGGCGAAGGCGACUCUCUGGUCUGUAACUGACGCUGAGGAGCGAAAGCGUGGGGAGCGAACAGGAUUAGAGACCCCCGUAGUCCCUGUCUCUUAUACAC